rnacentral:rRNA from 1 species
GACGAACGCUGGCGGCGUGCUUAACACAUGCAAGUCGAACGAUGAAGCCUUCGGGUGGAUUAGUGGCGAACGGGUGAGUAACACGUGGGUAAUCUGCCCUGCACUCUGGGAUAAGCCUUGGAAACGGGGUCUAAUACCGGAUAUCACACUUCUAGGCAUCUAGUGGUGUUGAAAGUUUUGGCGGUGCAGGAUGAACCCGCGGCCUAUCAGCUUGUUGGUGGGGUAGUGGCCUACCAAGGCGACGACGGGUAGCCGGCCUGAGAGGGUGACCGGCCACACUGGGACUGAGACACGGCCCAGACUCCUACGGGAGGCAGCAGUGGGGAAUAUUGCACAAUGGGCGAAAGCCUGAUGCAGCGACG